GGGCAGGUAGCUCAGUGGUAGAGCAUUGGACUGAAAAUCCAAGGGUCACCGGUUCAAGCCCGGUCCUGCCCA
rnacentral:tRNA from 1 species